UACAGAGGGGGCAAGCGUUGUUCGGAAUUACUGGGCGUAAAGGGCGCGUAGGCGGCCUUCUAAGUCGAACGUGAAAUCCCCGGGCUCAACCCGGGAACUGCGUCCGAGACUGGAAGGCUCGAAUCCGGGAGAGGGAUGUGGAAUUCCAGGUGUAGCGGUGAAAUGCGUAGAUAUCUGGAGGAACACCGGUGGCGAAGGCGGCAUCCUGGACCAAUAUUGACGCUGAGGAGCGAAAGCUAGGGGAGCAAACGGG
rnacentral:rRNA from 1 species